GAAGUGUGCCAGGUAACCGCUCCGGUGAAAGACCCGGGGAGGAAAGUCCGAACUUCGCAGAGCAUGCCGCCCCGAUAACGUCGGGGAGACGGUGACGUCAUGGACAGUGCCACAGAAAACAAACCGCCCCGAUAACCUCGGGGUAAGGGUGAAACGGCGGUGUAAGAGACCACCAGUUCCGGUGGUAACACCGGAAGCUCGGUAAACCCCGGCAGAAGCAAGGCCAAGUAAAGGAGCGAUUAAGGGCUGCUCGCCCGAUGCUCCAGGGUGGGCCGCUUGAUUCCGGCAGCAAUGCUGUGAACAGAUAAAUGGUUACCACCUGUCCGGUUUCAGCGACGGAGACGGACAGGAACAGAAUUCGGCUUACCGGUGCACUUCCCGU
rnacentral:RNase_P_RNA from 1 species